AUGAAUGGUGAAUGUCAUUCAGCCGAUGAUCUCUAUGGAGCGGCAUCAACUGAGGACUGGGUACAAUAUGAAGAACUGAAAUCGAAGCAUGAAGAUGAUCGACCAGCCCAUUUUUUCCAACAAAAUUUGGCUUUCGAAUCAUCCUCACCUUUUGACAUUGCAAAAAUAUUCCUACCUUUUCCGUUCUCAUUUUAUCCCGAUAACGGGCAAGCCUUUCGGCAUCCCGAAUGCAUCCAUUCUUGUGCUUCCAAUGGUCUGCUUACUGAUCACGAGGUUCCGAUGUAGCUUAGUUUCAAUUGAAUUACUGCGUAAUACUCUAGUUUUAUGCAGUUAUUGCAAAAUCUAGAAAUAUGUUGUGCUGAUAGGUUUUUGACUCUGAGAAUGACUACAUUGAUCAAAAUAUUGACAAAGACCACCACCUCAACCAUCACCGCCACCAUCAUCCUCGUCCAAUAUGCUAUGUUAGUGGGCAACCUAUCCCAGUCGAUGCAAAUGGCCGUCUUGUGUUCCGUCGACAUCCUUUUUGGCGACAAAAGUACUGUCGAGCGCAUAAGAGAGAUGGGACACCUUGUUGUGGUUGCAAAAGAUUAAAGGUAGGUUCCCUUUCAAUUAGAU